rnacentral:misc_RNA from 1 species
AACACUGUUAACCUGCGGUACCUGCGGAGGGAUCAUUAAAAAUUGUUCCAAACUACCGCUUAAACCCUUCUUCAAGGUUUAAGCGGUAGCUUUCUCAACCCUUGUGAAUUGUAUGCUGUGUAAAUCUCUUGAUUGGUCUUGGGUAGUUUCUUGCUGCGGUGUGUUAUCACACAACACGGUAAAGAGACCAAGAUCACUAGAGAUUUUAUUCUAAACUCCACUAAAUUAUAAUUGGGUUUU